rnacentral:rRNA from 1 species
AGAGAGAGACAUGCGCGCAUAUCAAUAAGCGGAGGAAAAGAAACUAACAAGGAUUCCCUUAGUAACGGCGAGUGAAGCGGGAAGAGCUCAAAUUUGAAAUCUUCAAGGUUUUACCUUGACGAAUUGUAGUUUAAAGAAGUGUUUUCUGCUGAAGUUUUGGUAAAAGUUCUUUGGAAUAGGACAUCAUAGAGGGUGAGAAUCCCGUAUUUGACCAUUAUUUUCAGCUUUGUGAUACACUUUCAAAGAGUCGGAUUGUUUGGGAAUGCAGUCCAAAAUGGGUGGUAAAUUUCAUCUAAAGCUAAAUAUUGGCGAGAGACCGAUAGCGAACAAGUACCGUGAGGGAAAGAUGAAAAGAACUUUGAAAAGAGAGUUAAACAGUACGUGAAAUUGUCCAAAAGGGAAGCGUUUGACACCAGUGUUGUUUUCUCGAAAAUCAAUUAAAAAUGGCUCGAUUUUGUAUUGUUGAGACCUUAAAAGCUCACUGUACAUUUUUCGUGUCUUUUUUAAUGCACUUUUCGUUUAACAAGUCAACAUCAGUUUCUUUUGUUGUAAAAGGGUCAUUGGAAGGUGGCUUUCUUUUCGGAGAAAGUGUUUAUAGCCUUUGGCCUCUGCAAUCGGAGAGACUGAGGUCUGCAGCGUAGACUCUUCGGGGUUAGAUACAUUUGUGCUAAGUUAUAGCUUUUUAUAGACAACUUGUUGACUAUAAUUAGUCUUGUAGCUUACUCGCUUAUGCUAUUUUACCUACGCUUAGGAUGUUGAAGUCAUCGUAUCGCGC